AUCAUGCUCGCACGUUGGAGCUGUUCUUUUUGCAGUUGAAGCUGGGGUGAAAAUGAGAGCGACAUGCACAUCAGAGCAGUGCAAGUGGCUGAUGCCAUCUCAUGUUAAAAAGAUUCCUGCUUGCCCAGUAACUCUGAUUGACUUCUCUUCAGCAAAGUCAAAAAAACGAAAGCUUGAGUGUUCCAUUGAUGGCUGCACAAGUACACAAAAGUUAUGGAUGCAAACAUGAAGCACAAGCCAGAGGAGCAUAUGAGAAGCUUAUGAGCCAGGAGCAUGCAGGCUUCUCAUGUAUGGACAGCGGUCUCUGGCUGAACCCCAAGUGGCCAUACAUGGGGUC